rnacentral:lncRNA from 1 species
AAAAUCCUGUUUGAUAUGGCUCUCUUGCUGCUGGUGUUAUUUAUAGCUGUUCUUACCUUCGACCAGACUGGGCAUCUCUUUUUGUUUAAGCAUGUUCAGCUCCGGAUGUUGCUUCAAGUUCUGAAGACUCAACUGAGGAAGGACUUCCAGCAGCAGAGGAACACUGUAACUGUUCACAGAGGAACACUUCAGCCACCCAGGGCAAGGUCUCAGCUUGUUGCCUUCCUGGUCAUCCUCACACACAGACAAUGCAGAAGAGCCACAUUUUCAAAGGUGACCAGAAAUUUCCAUCACUUGGCCAGUGACAUCCCAAAAGGAGAUUGCUUAACUUGGAGCAUGAGAGAAGCCUACAGGAGCCCAGGGCAUCACACAGGAGUUCCAUGCAAAGCCCAAGGUGUGGCUCCAUGGCUCUUUGGUCCCUGCCCCAUUGGCAGUGCAGGAGUGGGAUGAGCCGCUGAGCCACUGAACCAGACUGGCAGAAAACCACCACCCAUCACUUGCAGGUACGUUCCUUGGUGCUGGGAGGGCUGAAGGUGCACACCAUGGGCCCAGGCACACACUGGUGCUGGCCUGUGGAGCAAAUGGAAGCCAGGGGGUGGAGGGGGAAGCAGGACAGAGGCAGCCCUGGCUCAGACUGAUGGAAGUUUCACGCAGUGGAAAGCAAAAUGCGUGAGGCUGGAGCUGUAUCCCCACCUACAUAAUGGAUUGCCCUGGGCACUGCACUAAAUACAUUAAGCAAUGAUGAAUAUUCAUAUUUUAAGAUUAAAUCUACCUCCUAAUGGAACUUUUCACUGGCAACCUUUUCUUAUUGUGCCUUGGAACUCCAUGUAUCUGAACAACUGCUGUUGGGUGAAAACACCUUCCCAAGUCAAAAUAACAAUAUCAA